rnacentral:rRNA from 1 species
UACGAAGGGGGCUAGCGUUGCUCGGAAUCACUGGGCGUAAAGCGCACGUAGGCGGAUUGUUAAGUCAGGGGUGAAAUCCUGGAGCUCAACUCCAGAACUGCCUUUGAUACUGACGGUCUUGAGUUCGGGAGAGGUGAGUGGAACUGCGAGUGUAGAGGUGAAAUUCGUAGAUAUUCGCAAGAACACCGGUGGCGAAGGCGGCUCACUGGCCCGAUACUGACGCUGAGGUGCGAAAGCGUGGGGAGCAAACAGG